CCUCUUCUUAUACACCCAUCCUGCCACUUCCCUCCUCCUUUCUUGUUACCACUCUUUCUUUCUUUCUUUCUUUCUCUCUCUUUCACACACACACACCCACACCCCACAAUUCUCUCACAAUUAGGAAUAUAUAUCUAUUCAGCACUACUAUUAUUUGCAGCCUUUCUGUCCCCAGUCCUCUUUCUUUGCUAGCAAGCUAUUUCCUGUGUGAAGCUGGGCUCUUUUGCACUCAGCCGUUUGUUUAGUUGCUUUUGUGUAAUUGUUGUCCAAAAACCCAGAUUUGCUGAAGUCUUGAAAUUAAAGCACCAGGGAAGAAGUCAUAUAAAGGAGGAGGAAAAAAUUUCCUUUGGAUGCUCCUGUCCCUUGCCUCUCCUAGGGGAUGCCCCAAUUCACCUUGGCUUGCUUCUGUGGGCUCCAUGGCUUCUGCAAGAUGAAAAGGAAACAUGAAAAGUCCAGUUCUGAUCAAGAAACUGCUGUUUGAAAAGAGAAGGCGUUCUUUUCGGGGUUCACUUAAAUGUGAAUUGGAAAAGCAUGCUUACUGCAAUAACUUGAUUAUGGAGGUGGAGGAGAAAUGACUCAAUAUGAAUGAACAAACAUUACAAAGGAACAUACAAAAUCUAUCUGGGGAAAUGACCAUUCUACAAUUUCCUAGUUUGAAUUACAUUAACCUUUAGAGACUCUAGUCUAGAUAUUCAUGAUUUUUUUUAAAGUUCAAUUAAUUUAUUGAGAUACAUUAGCCAUGUGUUAUAAGUAUUGGACAACAAGCCAGCUGGGUAACCUUGGGUCAGUCACUCUCUUUUAGCCCAAACCACCUCACAGGGUAGUUGUUGUUGUGGGAAAAAUAGGAGGAGGAAAGAGUAUUUUAAGUAUGUCCACUGCCUUGAGUUACUUAUGAAGUAGUAAAGGCGGGAUAAAAGUUAUUAAUAAAUAAAUAAACUCCCUUUCUGGCUCGGACUCUGAAGACACGUGGAUGAAGCAGGUUAGGGAAAAAUACUGUAUAGAUGUGUUUAACUAUUUUGUAAGAGAAGAUCGUUUAAUAGUAUCAGACUGUAUCCUUAGUUGGAUUUAAACCAAAUACAGAAUAUUGCUCACAUCUAGAAUCAUAAAGAUGGAAUAGAUCAUUUAGGCUGUUGUCCGUCUUCCCUGGUAAUCAAGGUUGAGGUUUGCUUAAGAAGAAAGGCCUGCAUUAGGUUAUAAGGGAACACAUUUAAGGCUUGUUUGACAACACUGCAGAACAUUCAUAUGUUUGUACUGGCUUAUUUUAAUGACAGUUUUGGCAAACAUUUUGAUAUAUAAAAUCUGGUAGAUAUUCCUCUUAUAAUCAAAACAUGUGCAGCCCAUUUCAGUCACUGAAUGCAAACAAGAAAGGUGGCAGUUUUCAUUAUAAUUAAGAUACUACCCAAUUCCUCGUAUGUAUAAAACUGUAAAUACCCUGAACUUCAUAGUUUGAACAUAGUUUGAAAAAUUGUAGGUUUGGGUUCAUAUUUCUCUUUUAAAAUGCUGCUUUUGUGUUAAAUAAAGCAUUUUUCUCUAAUCAUAGCACAACAAUUUGGAUGAAAAGGAAGCAAAAAACCCCUCUAUUUUUGUAAAGGAAGGAAAGAGUCGAACUCAAGUCCUUUUUUUUUUUAUAGCAGAAAUGGACAAAGAAACAUGCAGUUAAGGCAGUGUGGGAACAGUUGUCUAUACAACAUGUAUGACAUAGUCCUAUUUUCUCCAUUGCUUACCAUGCAUUUCUUGUUGGAGAAUCAUUUCCUGUCAGAAAAGUAAGAACCUUUUUUAGGACUUCUUGAAGUUUACAAAGCAGGUAGAAAUCCCAUUGAACACUACGGAAUCUUCUCCCUCCUGAGAGUUGUUUCUGCCAAGAAAAUACAUUGCACUGUUUUAACAAGUUUGUGUGGGUUGAUGUAAGUAUAGAAGACAUGCACGAAGUAUGGAAAUUAAGACUGGAAAGAAAAGCCAUUCAAAUUCCUUGUUGCAAACUCUUCUUGAAGAUUACACAAUGAAAACUAUACGAAAUUACAUGUGACCAUUUUCCCUGGUAUUCCAUAUUCUGUUGGCAUGACUAAUGCAGGAAUUUUAAGCUGUGUAACAGGAAUGAAGUUAAUCCAAUAAUUCUAGUACUGCCAAUUUUGUAAUUUAAAAGUUAAUAUAUAUCAAGUUUAUUACAACCUGUACAAUUAUUGAAUUCCAGGAUUAUUCUAGGUAGAAAAGAUCAUUUAACAACAUUAUUACCACAGAUACAUUUGGGGUUUUAUUUUUAAUAUUUCUGCUCAGUAAUUAUUUCUGGAUUAGUUAUUGUUUUUGGGGAGAAAUGAGUUAAACUGGAAUUUAAAUGUUUUAAUUAUAUGAUUACUCGGGAUAUUGCUCUCAAAACACAAAAAUCAAGGAAUCAAAUAUUUCUUGUUCUAAUUGUACUGACAAACAACACUGUUUAAAAUGAAGUGCCUGGGUGAUCAAUUACUAUAUAAAAUUAUUAAAAAUUCAAGCUUUCAAAAAAAGAUUGGCUGACAUUUAUCUGAACAUUCAAAGUAUAACAAAUUUUCAAUUCUCAAACAUUGGAAAUUAUAAGUUUUUGCUAAUGCAUUUAUUAAAAUUAUAUUAUCAGUUUUUUUGUUAAGAAAAAAUAAGAUAGGGCCAAAUCUUGCAAUACUAUAGAAGCCAAUAGACCUUAUAUAUGCAGUAUGCAAAAUUAUAUGCUGUAAUGUUUUUACAUUUGUGAUAUAUGAAAUUAUUGAUAAUCUAAAUCUAUUUAUUGAAUGUAUAUGCAGUUAGUUUGCACAAUCAAGUGUAUGGGUAACUAAAUGAUACACUUACAUAGACAUAUUACUAAUAACUUAAUCUAUGAACUAUUGGUAAAUUUUCUAGUUAUUUACAUAUAGAUGCAAUCUAAAUUUUACCUGAAUUAAUUAUGCUGGUAGCUUCUUGAAAUUCACCAUUUCACAUUGAUUUGAAGAUCUGCUAUGUCCCCAGAAAUAAUUAAAUUUAACUUAGAAGUGGGUCUGAAUCAAACCAAAGGUGUGUAUGUGUGUGUGUGUGUGUGUGGUGUCUUUGUGCAUGUAUGUGUAUGUGUGUGUGUGCGUAAAUAUAUACACAAACAUACACACACAUAAAUAUCCAUGCACAUACAGAGCAUGCAUGCAUGACAAGGCAGUUGUUCUCAGGGAAAGAAACAAGACAUAUGUUGAAAUGCUUUGUCAACCAUAUGAAAGCAAGGUCUCUCUCUCUCCUGCCUCCCCUUUGAGAAUCUGCUCAGUACAUAUGUAGGCAACUUAUCUCUUCUGUACCUCUAACCACAUCUUUCUUGUGGGAGUAAUAAUAUUGACAGCUUUGAAGAUAAUAGUGAUAUUGUUUGUAUUUAGGACUGAAAAUAAUAUAUAAAAAGAUAAAUGUCACUAAGCACAACUUUAAAUCCAACUUUUACAGAAAUGUGCCUCCUAGCAUUUGCUAGAGGGAGUAAUUAUAAUGGUCCAUAUUACAAUUUUAGAAUACUAUAACAAAUUGUAAAAUUUAAAGUUGUGUCUUUACAGUAGACUAGAUAUCAACAUACCCUAUGUCAGUGCUUUUUUUCUUAAAAAAAAAAAAAAAAAAAGGUGCCGGAACUCACACGUCAUACAACCUGCCUUGCCUACCCUACAAGGUUCCAUCCAAAAAAGGUGCUGGAACUCCGUUCUGGACGUUCUAUGAGAAAAAAAGCCCUGCCCUAUGUAAAUAUUUUGGAUUAAUUGAUUACACCGAGCAACUGACACACCCAAAAUGUGUUAGAAUUCUUGGAACAUUUCACAGUGGUUAUUUAUUUAUUUGUUCAGCUUAUGUGCCACCCAUCUUGCCUGAAGGCGGCUUUAGAUGGCCUAAGGUCAUUAAAAUCAGUGAAAAGAUUAAAACAGUAAAUAAUAUUAAAUUAGUUUAAAAUUGAUAAAGAUGAGGAUGAAGGGAGCAAGGAUGGGGAUGGGGUCUUAUCAAGUCCAUUAACUACUACCAGAAUAAUAUGCCCCUAUUGUGGCCCCAGGCCAGGUCUUCUAGCACUUUUGGAAGGCCAAUUUGCCUUCCAAAUCUGCCAGCAUAGGUGGGGAAGGCCAAUCCCAUUGAGAUGAGAUGAUUCAUUAGAUAGCUUGGACUUCUGCCAUGAAGGGCUUUAAAGGUGAUAACCAACAUCUUAAAUUGGAUCUGGAAGCAAACUGGCAAUCACUGUACCUUGUAAAACACGGUGUAACAUAGGCCACCCUAUGUCCGCUGUCUGCGCAGCUGCAUUCUGUGCCAGCUAAAGCUUCUGAAAACUCUUCAAGGGUAGUCCCAUGUAGACUGUGUUGCAAUAGUCCAAGCAUAAGAUGAGUGACUGAGUUCAGGGACUCCCAGUCCAGGAAGAGUGCACAAAAUUGUGCAAAGAUUCUCCUAGCCAUAACUGUCACCUGCUCUGAAUAGUAGUCAGAGGUUCAGGAGAAUAUCCAAGUGGUGUACUGGGUCUGUCUUGGGUAAGGCAACCCUAUCCAGAAUUAAAGAUGUUGAAGUCCUGACUCCAUGCAGCCAAAAUCAAUUGAUCUUACCCGGGAUUCAGUUGAAGCUUGUUGUAUCCCAUCCAGAUGCCUGCAGCCUCCAGAUACCAUGAGAGGGCAGCAACAGCAUCACUUGGGUCAUCAGGGAUGGAGAUGUAAAUUGAGUCUCAUCAGCAUACUGAUGGUAUCUCAUCCUGUGGUGGUGGAUGAGCACCACCAGCAAUUUCAUGAAGGUGUUAAAAAGGAGUAGACAGAGUACUGAACCCUAUGGCACACCAUAAGUGAGUGGCCAUAGACUGGACCUCUCACUUCUUACUGAUACUGAUAAUACUAAUAAUACUAAUAAUGUUGGAAAGGACCUUGGAGGUCAUCUAGUCCAACCCCCUGCUCAGGUAGGAAAUCCUAUACCAUUUCAGACAAAUGGCUGUCCAGUCUCUUCUUAAAA